GAUGAACGCUAGCUACAGGCUUAACACAUGCAAGUCGAGGGGCAGCAUGAACUUAGCUUGCUAAGUUUGAUGGCGACCGGCGCACGGGUGAGUAACACGUAUCCAACCUGCCGAUGACUCGGGGAUAGCCUUUCGAAAGAAAGAUUAAUACCCGAUGGCAUAGUUCUUCCGCAUGGUAGAACUAUUAAAGAAUUUCGGUCAUCGAUGGGGAUGCGUUCCAUUAGGUUGUUGGCGGGGUAACGGCCCACCAAGCCUUCGAUGGAUAGGGGUUCUGAGAGGAAGGUCCCCCACAUUGGAACUGAGACACGGUCCAAACUCCUACGGGAGGCAGCAGUGAGGAAUAUUGGUCAAGGGACGAGAGUCUGAACCAGCCAAGUAGCGUGAAGGAUGACUGCCCUAUGGGUUGUAAACUUCUUUUAUACGGGAAUAAAGUGAGGCACGGGUGCCUUUUUGUAUGUACCGUAUGAAUAAGGAUCGGCUAACUCCGUG
rnacentral:rRNA from 1 species